rnacentral:rRNA from 1 species
CUACUUAUAAAUAUAAUACUUGAAUUAAAAUAAUUUUAUAAUAUUUAGAAAACAAAUUAAAUUUAUAUUAUAAUAAUGUUUGGCUCUGGCUUACUUAUAUAAUAAUAGUAAAUAAAUACACAUGGUUUUUUUAGAAUGAAGUGAGGUAAAUAAUAAUUAAAAAGAAAUUUAAAAUUUUUCAAGAUUAUUAUUUAAAGUAUUAUUAAAUAUAUAAUGCUUAGUAAAGUCCCACUAACACCAGUGCUAGAGAUUAAAAAAAAGCGUAAGCUUGAUUUAGAUUAGCUAUUUAAAUUUGGUUAACUUGGUGCCAGCAUCCGCGGUUAUACCAAGAAAUUAAGUUAUAUAUUAUGGUGAAAAGAUAGUUAAGUAAUAAUUAGUUUUUAUUAGCCUUUAUUUAAAAGUAAAAUUUAUAUAUAAAAGUUAAAAUCCUAUAAAAAAUUUAAACUGAAGCUAUGAAAAUCUUGAGGGAAACUGGGAUUAGAUACCCCAUUAUUCUUGAAAGUAAAUAAAUCAAUACCAGGGUACUACAAAUAAUCUUUUAAAUUUAAAACCCAAAGAGCUUGGCGGUGUUUUAGACUAUUUAGGGGAACCUGUUUCGUAAUCGAUAAUCCACGAUAUACCUAACCUUCUUUUGUAAUCAGUAUGUAUACCGUUGUCGUCAGGUAACUUUUUAAAACAUAGAAGUUAGCAAAGAAAUUUUUAUUUUAUACGUCAAAUCAAGGUACAGCCCACAAGAAGGAGAGAAUGGGUUACAAUUAAAACUUAUAAUAACGGAAUAAAAGUAGAAAACUUUUUUGAAGGAGGACUUAAAAGUAAAAAAAUAAUUAUAAAAAUUUUUUGAAUUAAGCUCUGAAACGUGCACACAUCGCCCGUCGCUCUCGCUGAAAAGUGAGAUAAGUCGUAACAUAGUAGGGGUAAUGGAAAUUGUCCCUAGAUGA